UUCAGUACAUCAGGCAUCGCGUUGGCGAUAUCACGGGAUUCUCCGGGACCCCAUUGAUGGGAUACUUAUCACUGAAAAAACGAGUCUCCUGUGCUGGAAGUAUUAUUUGGUGAUUAGUUUUGUAGUCAAAGUUGGGUGAGCCAGUAUAGGGCGUGAUACAUUCUGUGAAAUAUUGGAAAUAGACAUGGAAGUGAUGGAGACGCAUGACAAUGACGUGAAAGAGGAAGUUUUAGAGGACGGAGACAAUGAUGAUGACGAUGAACCCAAGUAUGAGGAGGAGCAGGAUGUUAAGGAGGAGGUGGAUGUUAAAGUGGAACCUAAGGACACGGUUUUGGAGGAGGAUGGAGCGACUGUUGAAGAGACUUACGAGAUCACCACCACCAGGCGCAAAACCACUACUACGAGGUACAAGAUUCAAGAAACAUCGGCGUCCCACAAAAAAAGCACCAUGACGACGGCUGCCAAGCUCUAUGGCAAGGACCUGAGUGAUUACGAUGAUGUUGAUGUUGAUGAGCUGCUGUCACAGCUCACGCCGGAGGAAAUCAAUAUGUUAGCCAAAGAAGUUGAUCCAGAUGACAGUUUUAUGCCGCCAUCGCAACGUUGUAGUUACGAGUGUGACAAGAGCCCAACGGGUCCCCUGAAUCGUAAAAAACUCAUUGAGCAUAUUAACAAACAGGCAUUAGAAACACCGGAUAUUCCAGAACUGAAGCCAUACGUACCUGGUGUUGUAAGAGGAAAGAAAUGGAUCCCACCGUCUCAGGACAACAUCAAGGAGAAACAGGCUGAUGAACAAAUUGCCAUUGACCUUGGGGAAGAGUACGAGCAGGCUCUUUCCUCAGCAACUCAGGAUGAGAUUAUUGAUUUGGCUGCCAUUCUUGGAUUCCACUCGAUGAUGAAUCAGGAUCAGUAUCAUGCAUCACUACUCAAUACUGGACAGCCUGUUGGUCUUGGGUGGGAUGGUAUCACAAAAGCUAGCCAACCUAAAGUAUUUCCCAUGGAUCCACCUAAUGACACAGACGUCGAUGCUUCGAUCAAACAAGUUCGUGAGGACGAUCGUGAACUUGUUGAUCUCAAUUUGAACAACAUUAAAAAUAUCUCAGAGGAAAAGUUCAUUCAACUCUUUGAGGCACUGGAGGGCAAUACACACUUGGAAGCACUUAGUUUAACGAACGUUGGUUUAACUGACAGAACGGCCAUGAGACUGGCUGAGGCGAUGGAGAAAAACUCGACUCUCAGAGUACUAAAUGUGGAAACAAAUUUCAUUAGCCCAACGGUGAUGGUGAGACUCAUCAGAGCUCUCCUGAAUACAAAAUCCAUCGAAGAAUUCCGUUGUUCAAAUCAGAGAUCGCAGGUGCUGGGUAAUAAAAUUGAAAUGGAAAUAACACACUUGGUUGAACAGAAUCCCACCCUUUUGCGAUUGGGCCUCCAUCUCGAGUUCAAUGAUGCCAGACAUCGCGUUGCAGCUCAUCUGCAGCGUAAUAUUGACAGGAUACGGAAAGAUCUAACGUUGCGGCUACAGUUCCGAUUCUUUAACAUGAAUCACAGGAAACCCGCCCUUAUUCAGUGAAAGUACGGCAGUCCCGGCUCGGGGUGGCAACAUCUUAAUCCGGCAGUUGACGUUUUUCCAGAUCGUCUGCUUCGUACAAGAAAGUUAUCUCGCAACUCCAUUAUUGAGCUAGGAAGUGACGAUCGAACGUUGGAAUCAUGUGGAUGCUAUUAGAGGAAGCCUCAAGACCAUUGAAAUGUGUUGAGUCACAUCGUUUUAUUCAUCGAAAAUAAUUCAACAGGAGAAUUAGCCCGAAUAAUGUCACUAGAUUAUUCGCCGAGUUUUCAGAGCUUUAACUAUUUCACAGGCUUUGCUUCAAUCGCAUUAUGAAAUUUUAAUGAAUUGUUUUACUAUUGACAAAACCAUUUGGUGAAUUUUUUUUUCAACGAUCAAAGGGGUUUCAGAAUAUUACUAAUUGAUUUUAUUCGCAACUGCAUCAGUGUGAUGACUGAAAAAUAUCGUUCAACCGAAUAUUUAUCAAGCGCAGUCGAUUUGCUAUUAAAUUCGUUCUUUUUUAUCCUUCACUGGCCUCUCGUGAAUGUGGAAAAUGCAUCCAUCAUGAGGACUCUGAUAUUGAACUGACGGCGAUAAGCCCGCCAUCGCAAAUCCCACGUAAAAAAUAGAAGAAUGAAACAUUUUUACGCACCUGUUUUUUUUUCUAAAAAGACAAAUUGUUUAAGUAGAAUGACUUUACGAUAGCUUUACACUGACGUUUUUCCGGGAUUAUAGCACCGAGUUUAAUGAUAUUUUUAUCACCAGUGUUUUUAGUGCGUCCAGACGUCUGCGGAAUUCACCAUAGUCGUUGAUUUUUUACACUUGAGUCGUUUUUUUUAAUUAUUCGCGCGCGAAAAAAUUUAAUUGAAAAACAGAGAAUUCGCGAGAAAUAUCUGUUGGGUUUGUUCAAUGGGAAUUGUUUUCAUAAAAAAUUUUCGGCUCACAUUUUUCAAGAUUUUUUUUUCGUUUUAUUUUCAUGUUUUUAUGAAAA